CCAACGGAAAACUGACUCAGCCUGGCCACAGGGGCUGCAGUGGCUUGGCCAGAUCUGAGAAGGCUGGGAGAUUCUGCAGAUCUGUCUGGGCAGUGAAGUCUGGGGAGCACUUCUCCCCUCUAGGGGUGCGGAAACCUCAGAGGGAAGGGCCAGCAGAGCAGGGAAAGGGCAGAAGUGGGAGGAUGAGAGGAGCAUCUGGCCAAGAAGCCAAGACCCCAAAAUCGAGGGCCGAGAAGGCCACACAGACCCGGAAAGAGACAGCCUGUCUUGUAACCUCAGAAGGAGGUAAACCUCGGAGUGCACUUCGGCAUCCUCCCCGCAGCCCGACCGCCGGGAUUAGCAGCUACCAGAGAGACCAGAAUCAGUCGUUAACCCAGAAGAGAUGUCGCACGUCCACCUGCUUUAUACUUAAGGCACAAAGUGGCACUUAUGGCUGCAACCGCCACGAGGGCUGUGCUCCCCCCCCCCCGCUGUCUCUGCUGAAACAGAAAACAAGAACCCCCGUCCCUCCAAGAUCUCAAGAUUUUAAAUGCCAGGAAUCUGUACUUCCUUUAUUUUAAUACUCGAGAGCCUGGGGCUCACUGUUUCUAUGUAAAACACAGGUAGUAGCUAGUACACCCAACACAUCCUAGAACAUUCUGUACCCCCCCCCCAACUUUAAGGGAUGAUCGUAGUUCACCAAGUAAGGAGAUGGAUUAUCUGCUGGGAUCAAGAACAUGCCACCCCACCCCAUCUAGAAACCAAUUCUCUGCGUAUGAGAUGACAUCCUGGGGCGACGGUAAAGCUCCUUCUUCAGGACCCCCCGCACCUGACAUAAGGAGCAUGUGCUGAAGUUUUUCCUACAAUUUGAACAGAACCCAUUUUCUGGGCUCUUUAUUGGUUUAAAGUUGUAUCUCAGAGCCACAGCUCAGACAAUGAAGAGCCCCAAGUGCACCCAAAUUCAAUGGUGCAAGGUCUGAAGU